rnacentral:rRNA from 1 species
CUGCCAGCAGCCGCGGUUAUACCGAGGGUGCGAGCGUUAAUCGGAAUUACUGGGCGUAAAGCGCGCGUAGGUGGGUUGAUUAACCGGUUGUGAAAGCCCCGGGCUCAACCUGGGAACGGCAUCCGGAACUGUCAGGCUAGAGUGCAGGAGAGGAAGGUAGAAUUCCCGGUGUAGCGGUGAAAUGCGUAGAGAUCGGGAGGAAUACCAGUGGCGAAGGCGGCUUCUGGACUGACACUGACACUGAGGUGCGAAAGCGUGGGUAGCAAACAGGAUUAGAUACCCUGGUAGUCC